GACGAACGCUGGCGGCGUGCUUAACACAUGCAAGUCGAACGGAAAGGCCCUGCUUUUGUGGGGUGCUCGAGUGGCGAACGGGUGAGUAACACGUGAGUAACCUGCCCUUGACUUUGGGAUAACUUCAGGAAACUGGGGCUAAUACCGGAUAGGAGCUCCUGCUGCAUGGUGGGGGUUGGAAAGUUUCGGCGGGUGGGGAUGGACUCGCGGCUUAUCAGCUUGUUGGUGGGGUAGUGGCUUACCAAGGCUUUGACGGGUAUCCGGCAUGAGAGGGUGACCGGCCACAGUGGGACUGAGAUACGGCCCAGACUCCUACGGGAGGCAGCAGUGGGGAAUAUUGCACAAUGGGCGGAAGCGUGAUGAAGAAACGCCGCGGGCGGGAUGACGGCCUUCGGGUGGUAAACCGCGUUCGCCUGUGACGAAGCGUGAGUGACGGUAAUGGGUAAAGAAGCACCGGCUAACUACGUG
rnacentral:rRNA from 1 species